UGUCAGGUGCAAGAGUCACCAGCCAUGCCUGGCCACUGAGAGCGAAGCCUGGCCAGUCCAAAGCAAGAGUGCUGCAAGGAAAACAUGCCAGAUUUCGAAGACUUGGUACAAGGGAAAGAAGAGGUGAACAAUGAGCUACCUGAGACUUCGGCAAGGCAGGAUGGUGGCUAAGGGGAUGGAUUCCAAGCCAGACUCCAUGGGUUUGAAUCCUGGCUCAGUCACUUCCUAGCUGUGUGCCUUUGGGUGUUAAUACAGGAGUACCUACCAGCAUGUCAGAGUCUUGAAACGUGCAACGAGGAAGGAGCCCCAGGGAGGUGAAGCGAAGAGCCAGCCUGUGGGCGGUCUCGGCGUCCAGC